rnacentral:rRNA from 1 species
CCAGACUCCUACGGGAGGCAGCAGUGGGGAAUAUUGCACAAUGGGGGAAACCCUGAUGCAGCGACGCCGCGUGAAGGACGAAGUAUUUCGGUACGUAAACUUCUAUCAGCAGGGAAGAAAAUGACGGUACCUGACCAAGAAGCCCCGGCUAACUACGUGCCAGCAGCCGCGGUAAUACGUAGGGGGCAAGCGUUAUCCGGAUUUACUGGGUGUAAAGGGAGCGUAGACGGCCGUGCAAGUCUGAUGUGAAAACCCGGGGCUCAACCCCGGGACUGCAUUGGAAACUGCAUGGCUGGAGUGUCGGAGAGGCAAGUGGAAUUCCUAGUGUAGCGGUGAAAUGCGUAGAUAUUAGGAGGAACACCAGUGGCGAAGGCGGCUUGCUGGACGACGACUGACGUUGAGGCUCGAAAGCGUGGGGAGCAAACAGGAUUAGAUACCCCAGUAUU